CCCUUAGAUGUUCUGGGCUGCACGCGCGCUACACUGAUGCGAUCAACAAGUUUUUCCUAUGUCGAUAGACACGGGUAAUCUUUUGAACUCGCAUCGUGAUGGGGAUAGAUUAUUGUAAUUAUUAAUCUUCAACGAGGAAUUCCUAGUAGGUGCAAAUCAUCAGUUUGCAUCGAUUACGUCCCUGCCCCUUGUACACACCGCCCGUCGCUGCUACCGAUUGGUUGAUCUGGUGAAUUAUUCGGACUGCCGGCUGAAGGGGUUUCCUCAUCUGCCAGCGGAAAGUCUUGUUAACCCUAUCAACUAGAGGAAGCAGAAGUCGUAACA
rnacentral:rRNA from 1 species